CAAACCAAAGCUGGCGACCGGCGCACGGGUGAGUAACACGUAUCCAACCUGCCUCAUACUCGGGGGUAGCCUUUCGAAAGAAAGAUUAAUAUCCGAUAGCAUAUAUUUCCCGCAUGGGUUUUAUAUUAAAGAAAUUCGGUAUGAGAUGGGGAUGCGUUCCAUUAGUUUGUUGGGGGGUAACGGCCCACCAAGACUACGAUGGAUAGGGGUUCUGAGAGGAAGGUCCCCCACAUUGGAACUGAGACACGGUCCAA
rnacentral:rRNA from 1 species